AGGAGGAGGAGGAGGCGGCAGAGACGGUAGCUUCCUGAGGGGAAGACUCCGCCGCCAGCGGUGUGGCUGUGCUUCGCGCCGCCGCCAUCGCAGCGAGGCGCGGACAAUUGCACUUCGUCUCUUUCCAGAACGCUUCAGAUCCGCGGGCCACCCCUCCCCUCCCCCCACGGCUCGGCGUCACCCGCCUCCCUUUGGAGGGGAAGCAACGGUGACCAAGGGCAAAGGGCAAAAAGCGCGGGAUGUAAAGGCACGUGGGCCUCACACAAUGAAGCUUCUUCCGUUGGAGGAGCUAAUCUAAAUCCAAUUUAAGCCCUCAGUGAACAGAAAUAAGCAGAAGCCUUGGUAAUGAAGCAUUUCAUCAUGGGCCCUAAGGUCCUGCUUAACUAUGGAUCUACCCAUCUAAAUUACAAUAAAAACCUGGGAAUCCAGUACCCAACCAAAAAACUAGAAUAUUACUUAUAAUUUGAAUCUCCUCACCAUCUUUUUCCUCAACUUCCAAAGAAACCAAUAUCUUGAUUUAUGUUAUUAUUUCCAUACCCCUUUUACAUACAUUCUAGCCAUAGAUGUGUGCCUAAACCAUGUUGUCUUGUUUUCAAAUUUAACAAAAAUUUAUAUAUUUUUCUAGGUAGCAUUUUGGGGCUUGUUUCUUUCACUAAAAUUUUGUUUCUGAGAUUCAUCCAUAUAGCUGUAGUUCACUCACUGUCAAUGCUGUACAAUAUCCAACCAUUUCUCUGUUGAUGGGUGUGUGUCAUGGUGCAUCUGUGCAAAAGUUUCUCUUGGGUAUGCUCUCCUUUCCAGUCUCACUUCCAUUGCCCUAUUUCAAGUACUCAUCAUCUCUUGCCAGAACUAUGACAUCUGUCCCACUGGUCUCCUUUUCUCUGAUCUCAAACCCUCCAAUCUAUUUCCAUUUUGCUGCCAUUUAUCAAUAGCUCACCUUUGCUUGUUAGACAGUCAAAGGACACACCUUUGCACUAUUAGUCUCCCCUCUUACUUCCUUAUCUCAUCCCCUUCCACUGCCUCCACCUCCCCACACUUCUUUUACUUUAUUAUUUAGCUGUAUUAAAUCUUCUUACAGAUUCCUAUAAAAACUGUUAUUUCAUGAUGUAAUGCUAUUGUAUAUAUUGCUCCUUCUUCCUGAAAUGCCCCUUUCCCCACAUUAGGCACCUUCCUACUGAAUCCUUAUACACCCCUGGAAACACAAAUAAUACAUCACUUCUUCCAGGUAACAUGUCCUGUCCCUGCUUAGACUUAAUUCCACCCUCCUCUGUGCUACACCUAUAUCUUGUGCACAUUUUUAUUGUGUGCCUCUCUUGUCCAUAGCCUGGGACCAUUUUGAGACAAAAGACAGUUUGUUUUAUUUCUGACUUCUCAUGGUCCAGCACAGUAAAGUCCUAGGGCAAAGGUCAAAAACCAGUGGUCCCCAAGCCUAGGUCCCUAAGUCCUUAGGUCUGGCCCACAGAUAUGUUUUAACUGCACAAUUAUUUAUUUACUUGCCUGUCAACAUUUGAAAGGGGCAUUUCAUACAAAAGAAAAAAGUCUCUUAAAAGCAUUUGAAGAUUUGGCAGUAUUGGUUGUGUAUUCCUGACUGGCAACAACUGGCUGGAGCUGAAUAGCAACUUCAGAGACUUGGGGUGCUAGGCUCUUAAGGACAUUUUCUAUGUUGUUUUUGUGGUUCAGUAAUUUACCCAAGAUUACCUGAGUCAUUAGGUGGUUUCUCUAAUGUUCUUUCCUGUCCUUCUCUAAGUUAGUGCAGCAUUCACUCAUCAAAGAAACUACUGGAAAGAUCAUGCACAAGAAAUAUUCCACUGAAAUAGCCAGUAGGACAAGGUAAGCAUAAAAAGGAGUGUUACUCCAAUAUGCGAGGGGGAAUCCCUCAAAACCAUUGUUUCUGAAAAUACGAAUCACAGUCUGCUGUAUAAGAACUAUUCAGUCAGAAUCUCCUGGGAGUGUGCAUCACUCAGGAUUCAGUCAGCAAAAGAAAAACUGCACUAGGUAUUUCGAACAGAAAUGAUUUAAUAUAGGGAAUCAGGUAUUUUUUUUAAAAUUAGAAAGGUUAGAGGACUAAAACUCAGAGGACUUUUUCGAAUACUGUCAGCUAGUAUUGGAUAGCCUUUCCAUCCCCUUCUAUGCUCUCCCCUGUGUUGCAGAAGCUGGAAGCCUAUGAAUUACAUUUCCCAGACUUUUUGGCCAGCAGGAUUCUGAAUAUGGUUUAGGUCUCACCAAUGGUAAACAUUUUAGAAUAGAAUGGAGAUAAAAGCCAUUCUCUAAAUGCACUCCAACAGAUACAAAACAUGAGUUUUUGUGGUGGCCUUAACGUUCUUCUGCAAGGUUUGCACCCAAAGGCUUUGGAGGACCUGUAAGAUUAGCAAUGGUUUUCUGGAGCCCACUGACCUCUGUGUGACAGUUACAAUUUCCUGUCUUUGGACUAUAGCAGUCAACAAAUAUUUAUUAAAUUAUAGAGUUACUUCUUCCUUCUUAGGCACUAUGGAAAAUUCUGUGUCUGCUGUUCAAUCAAAUAGUAAAAAGAGGGGAGAGGAUAAUGCAUGAAGUAAAAGAAAGUAGUUAAUUUUCUGCAUGUUCCCCAACUCCAUUUGGUGACAUGCCAUAAAACAAAAAUGCCACCAAAUCUGAGUUAUACACUGUGACAAUAUGCAGCUACUUUCCUGUCUUCCUCUUAUACUUCUCAUUGCUCUCUAUGACAGUAAUGCUAUUAAGUGAAUGCCAAAGUAAUUUCUUUCACAAGAGAGAGGAGGUGGAAUGGGGCAGAGAGUAACAAUUGAUGAAAGCCUGCUAUGGGCUAGUCUUUUCCCAUAAUUUCCCAGUCAUCUCACAACAGUGAUAUUACACUGGGCUCAUUAACCCCAUUUAAAGAAUGCACUCAGCCUCAUGGAUGUAACUAACUUUUCCAUGAUUUUCAAUUUAGUGAUUGAAAUGGUUUGUUUAUAUCACUGGACCAGAGGGAGGAGGACAGUAUUGGUUGAAAUGAGUUUUAACUACCAACUCCCCAAAUCAUAGAGAGAAGACAGGGGUGGGGGGUUGUGGAAGUGGGUCUAAGGUGGAGGUCAAAAAUAAAUAAAGGAGUAUAUCUUUGAAUAUUUGAGAAAUCAAUAAGAAAAAGCAUACCAAUUGCUAUUUUGCUAUUUCUACAGUGAAACAUAAUAUGCAUUGUUUGGAAUAAUGUGGGGAAAUUAAAAAUUCAUUAUUACCAAAUACGAUACACUUAAAGAUAUCAGAAAAUGGAAAAAAUAAUUAGAACAUAAUUUAGUGGCAUAUAGCUAGUGUGAUUGACAUA